rnacentral:rRNA from 1 species
UUGAUCCUGGCUCAGAAUCAACGCUGGCGGCGUGCCUAACACAUGCAAGUCGAACGCGAAAGUGGAGCAAUCCAUGAGUAGAGUGGCAAACGGGUGAGUUACACGUGGGUGACCUGCCCUCGAGUGGGGGAUAACGUCCCGAAAGGGACUCUAAUACCGCAUAACAUCCUGCCUUUGGAGAGGUGGAGAUCAAAGCCGGUGAUCGUAAGACCUGGCGCUUGAAGAGGGGCCCGCGCCUGAUUAGCUAGUUGGUGGGGUAAUGGCCUACCAAGGCUACGAUCAGUAGCCGGCCUGAGAGGUCGGACGGCCACACUGGGACUGAGACACGGCCCAGACUCCUACGGGAGGCUGCAGUGGGGAAUUGUUCGCAAUGGGCGCAAGCCUGACGACGCAACGCCGUGUGGAGGAUGAAGAUUUUCGGAUCGUAAACUCCUGUCGAGCGGGAAGAAUACCUACCUGGCGAAUAUCCGGGUGGGCUGACGGUACCGCUAAAGGAAGCUCCGGCUAACUCCGUGCCAGCAGCCGCGGUAAUAAGGU